GCAGUCAUGGCCGAGUGGUUAAGGCGAUGGACUAAAAAUCCAUUGGGGUCUCCCCGCACAGGUUCGAAUCCUGUCGACUGCG
rnacentral:tRNA from 1 species